rnacentral:rRNA from 1 species
CCUACGGGUGGCAGCAGUGGGGAAUAUUCCACAAUGGGGGAAACCCUGAUGCAGCAACGCCGCGUGAAGGAAGACGGUCUUCGGAUUGUAAACUUCUGUUCUUAGUGAAGAAUAAUUACGGUAGCUAAGGAGCAAGCCCUGGCUAACUACUGGCCAGCAGCCGCGGUAAUUUGUAGGUGGCAAGCGGUGUCCGUAAUUACUGGGUGUAAAAGGUGCGCAGGUGGGAAGCCAAGUCAGGUGUGAAAACUACGGGCUUAACUUGUAGACUGCAGUGGAAACUGGUUUACUAGAGUGAUGUAGAGGUUAGCGGAAUUCCGAGUGUAGCGGUGAAAUGCGUAGAUAUUCGGAGGAACACCGAAGGCGAAGGCAGCCAACUGGGCUUUUACUGACGCUGAGGCACGAAAGUGUGGGGAGCAAACAGGAUUAGAUACCCGUGUAGUC